AGUGAACGCUGGCGGUAGGCCUAACACAUGCAAGUCGAACGGCAGCACAGUAAGAGCUUGCUCUUACGGGUGGCGAGUGGCGGACGGGUGAGGAAUACAUCGGAAUCUACUUUUUCGUGGGGGAUAACGUAGGGAAACUUACGCCAAUACCGCAUACGACCUACGGGUGAAAGCAGGGGAUCUUCGGACCUUGCGCGAUUGAAUGAGCCGAUGUCGGAUUAGCUAGUUGGCGGGGUAAAGGCCCACCAAGGCGACGAUCCGUAGCUGGUCUGAGCGGAUGAUCGGCCACACUGGAACUGAGACACGGUCCAGACUCCUACGGGAGGCAGCAGGGGGGAAUAUGGGACAAUGGGCGCAAGCCUGAUCCAGCCAGACCGCGGGGGUGAAGAAGGCCUUCGGGUUGUAAAGCCCUUUUGUUGGGAAAGAAAAGAAGCAGGUUAAUACCCCGCUGUUCUGACGGGACCCAAAGAAUAAGCACCGGCUAACUUCGU
rnacentral:rRNA from 1 species